rnacentral:lncRNA from 1 species
GAGGAAGGAAGGAAGGAAGGAAGGAAGGAAGGAAGUCCUUCCCUGGAACUACAGAUCAAUGCAGAUCACAUGACCAAGCCAUAAAGAUGAAUGGAAGGCCAAGCAGGCACAGGGUCCUCAGACUGUUCCCCAGGAGAGCCUUUCUCACCUCUCCCCUUGCAGCUCUCCAGCCCCAUCAGCCUCCUGAGCCAUCUCCUCCUUCCAGCUCUUCCUGUCUAUGACAACCAGAUCUCCCUCUCAGGAAUCUCAGGUGCCAUUCUAAGCCCCUUCAGUGAUGAGAAGAAUAAUUCUCGAAGCCUCACUAGAGAGAUGUGUGAGUGACAAUAUGGAACGAAGGCCUGAUGGUGAAGUUUCAGAAACUAGUUCCUGAGAGUGGUUCAUAUGUUAAGCUGAGGGAAUUCUUGCCUUGGCUACUCAGGGUAGUCACACCCCCAGCACCUGAGCUGAAGUAAUGCCCUACCUCCCAGGGAAUCAGUGCCUUGGAUGAGCCUGGCAGCUGUACAUCCCAGGGCUGAAUUGACAUGGCACCUUGCAUCCCAAGAAAACAGCAUUGAGUGAGCUGAGACCACCUACCAGGCCAAACAACUGUAGAACCUUGUCUUCUUGGAACUGGACUACCUCUCGCCCUUGACACCACAAGAUUCUGAGCUGCUGAGGCACCCUGCCUCCUUGGAAAGUGGAGCCAUUGCUGUGCUGCUCCAUGUCCCCUGGGGCCCAAGCCACAGCUGAACUCUGCCAUUCCUGGUCCUUGCUGUCUCAUGGAGCCAGGGACACGGCUAUGUUGUCUCAUCAUCCCUGGGUCCAGAGUCACCACUACACAGUGCCUUAUCGUCCAGGACCUGAGUUACUGCUGUGCCCUAUUGGCUCCAUUUCCCAAAUUAUAGCUGUUCUCUGCUCAUGGACCUGAAUCUCCAGAGCACCCCUUCUCCCCUGGAGCUGAGCCAGUGCUGUGCCCUGCCCUUCAGGGUCGGAGUCAGAGCUACCAUCCAGCCUAAUGAGCCCGAGCUGCUGGAGUGUACCUCAAAGCCACAGACACCAGCUUUAUUGACCAUCUGCAUCUACCUAUGCCUCAGAGAGUGAACCUUCACUCCAAGUGCCAGCUGCCACAGUAGGUUUGUGAGACCGUGAGCCCAAACUCAGGUUUUAAAGCCACUCUGAGCACCUGUACCCUGGAACCUAGCACCACUGCAGCCACUUGUGGGCCAUGCCAGACCCAACAUGAGGAGAGAUGCCCUCACCUAAGACUCUUCUUAUGGAGGAAAUGAGAAUGGGAGGACCCUAAAAGCUCUUGCUACUGAGAACUCUAACAGCACACACUUCUGCCACUGCUGUCACAAACUCUGGCAGCCUAGGCCGGUGAGGUGCCCACAGUCAUUCUUGACCUUGACUGCAGCUGAAGAAGCUGCACAGAGACUAUACCACUGCCUCCACUUGGAAUCAGGGCCACCACACCCUGCCCAAACAGCACCUUAAGACCCACCUGCAGGUGAAAGUCUUUACCUACAAAAGACACUCUGUAAAUUUUGGAAGAGGUGACUGUUCCACCAGAUGCACAGACAUCAAUACAAGGAUAAAAGAAACAUGAAAAAGCAAGAAAACAUGACACCACCAAAGGAACACAAUAAUUCUCUAGUGACUGACCUCAAAGAAAAGAAAAUUUAUCAAUUGCCUGAAAAGGAGUUCAAAAUAAUAUUUUUAAGAAAAUUCAGCAAGAUAUGAGAUUCAGGAUACAGAUGGACAACUCAAAAAACUCAAGGAAACAAUUCAUGAUCUGACUGAGAAAUUCAACCAAGAGAUAGAUAUUAUAAAAGAGAACCAAACAGAAAUCUUGUAGCUGAAGAAUGCAAUAAAUGAAACAAAAAAUACAGUAGAGAGAUUCAACAGCAGACUAAAUCAUGCAGAAGAAUCUGUGAACUUGAUAAUAGGUUUUUUGAAAUUACUCGGGGUAGGGGAAAAGGAAAGAAAAUAAAAAAGUAAGAUGGCCUGCCUGACUUAUUGGAUGCCAUUAAGCAAAAUAACUCUUGCAUUACUUAUGUUCCAGAAGAAGAGACAGAGAAAGGGAUAAAAACUUCUUUAAUUAAAUAAUUGCUGAAAACUUCCCAAGUCUUGGGAGAGAUAUAGACAUCCAGAUCCAUGAAGCUCAAAGAGGUUCAACCAAAAGAGGUCCUCCUCAAGACAUAUUAUAACUAAACUGUCAAAAGUAACAAAAUGAGCAUUUUGAAAGCAGCAAGAGAAAAGCAUCAAGUCACAUAUAAGAGAAUCACUAUUAGGCUAUCAAUAGAUUUCUCAAGAGAAACCUUGCAAGCCAGGAGAGAAUGGCAUGAGAAUGGGAUGAUAUAUUCAAAGUGCUGAAAGAAAAAAAAAAAACUGUCAGCCAAGAAUACUAUAUCAAGUAAAUCUGCCCUUCAUAAAUCAAAGAGUGGAAAAGAUAUAGAAAGAAAAUCAGAGUGGAAAAGAUAUCCAAAGUCUAACCAAAUGAAAACUGGAAUGGCCAUCCUAGUAGCAGAAAAAUAGACCUUAAAGCAAAAAGUUACUAAAGUUAAAGAGGAGUAUUUCAUACUCAUAAAUGUUAAUUCACCAGAAAGCUAUCACAAUUCUAAAUCUAUCUGUGUGCGACAACAUAGUUUUAAAAUAUUUCUUUAAAAAAGCAAAAAUUGACAGAAUUAAAGGGAAAGAUGACAAAUUCACACUCGUAGCAGAAGAGUUUAAUAAAUCUCUCUCCAUAGCUGAUAAUGGACCCAAUAAAAUCAGCAAGGAAUGAGAAGAAUGAAACACAUAAUUGGCAAAUGUAUAGCACCACAUGAUUUCUUUCACGUAAUGUUCAAAAACUGGCAAAAUUAUGUCAUUAAAAUCAUGCCAGUGGCUACUUUUCAGGGGGAAAAAAGCAUAGUUGUUGGAAAUGAACAUAAAGGAGAGUUUUUGGGGUACAGGCAACAUUCUAUAAUGUUCUAUUCCUUCAGCCGGGUUGUACUUAGAUGAGUAUGUUCAUUUAGAGAUAAUCAUUGAACUGGUAUAAUCCAAUUUCAAAUGUGUAUUAAAUAUAUUUGUGUAGUUCAAACACUACACAUAGCAAUAAAAAACAAUUUUAUCCACAUAUCAAACUAAGUAAAUCUUGGAAAUUGUGUUGAAUGAAAACACAUAGAUAGAGAUUAAAAAUUUUGUAAAUUAUUUUAAAAUGCUAUAUAUUUUUAUAUAGAUAAAUAUAUGUAGUAAAGGUAUAACUUCUGAAUAAGAAGAGUAUGUACCAAUUUCAGAUAACUCCAUAGUUAUCUAUGGAGCAGUAGGGAAGGGAAGACUAUAAAAGAGGACUCAAUGAUAUAUGCAACCUUUUAUUUCUUAAAACAUUCUUAAGUAAAUAUGGCAAACUGUCAACAUUUGUUAAAUUUGGCUGGAGGGUAUAUGGAUGUUUGUUAUAUUUGCUGUAAUUUUCUAUAUAAAAGAUUUCAUAAUUAUUUGUUUUUAAUACUGCAAAUAUGUUCUCAUGUUAUCAGAUAUUCUGAAAUAGCAAAUUUUAAAGACUUAUUUUUACUAUUAUAAAUAUUACUAUAAUAAACAUCCUUGCCUUAAAUACU